GGCCAAGUUUUAUUGUAUGGUGCCUGGGCAAGAUAAUGUAGAUGGUUUGAAACAAUUGCAAGGUGACGAGAAUGUAUCCCAUAUGUUCGAGGUACCUUACAUGGAAACAAGAUAAUGUGCCAAUGCAUGUGGAGCAUAGGGUGGGGGAGCAAUAUGAUCAGGAGGCAUUUUUUACUUAGAAGACAAUGUUGGAAGGAAUUCUUACAUAGGAGAGCAGAGCGCGCUUGAUGGGCAGCUUUUAGUGCC
rnacentral:lncRNA from 1 species